UUGCGGUGAAUACGUUCCCGGGUCUUGUACACACCGCCCGUCAAACCAUGAAAGUGACCAACACCCGAAGUCCGAUUCAUCGGCCUAAGGUGGGGGGCAUGAUUGGGGUU
rnacentral:rRNA from 1 species